GAGAACUGAAUACACGAAUGGUCGAAUGAGAGGGUAACGCCUCGAAAGGCAUCCUUAAUACUCCGGCCUGCAUUAUGUGAGUAAACACAGAAGUGUGGGAAGCCCGGUGAAGUCGGCAGAGAGAUACCGUAACAGUCAGGCUGACGAAAGCUGUCCAGAGGUGGAUGGUGUAUCCCAUAUGCCGGAGGUCUAUAAA
rfam:Lachnospiraceae bacterium M18-1 genomic scaffold acPFy-supercont1.3, whole genome shotgun sequence.